GGCAAGUAAAGACGAGCGUCCAAUUGACUUUUUGUUGCCAUGUCGGGCAAAGUAACCUUAUCGGAUGUCUCAAAAGAUGUAAAAUUUUAAUUCACCCUUUUUCCUUCCACAUGGCAUUCAAUCUGUGGAUAACCAACAAGGCAAAAUAAAUUACUUGGGAAUCUUCUCCCCUUAUUGGUGUCAUCAUUAAUGAAAAAAUCUUUUUUAUUAGUUCAAUUUUUGGAGUAUUCCAAUGCUUUUGAACGAGGUAAAUAUGAGCCACAGAAAGUAAAGACAUUUGCUGACUAGGCGAAAGGCUGGAUAUAGAUUCGAAACGUUUUAAAAUUCCUUUGGGACUGUCUAACGUUUUAGCCACUAGCAUUUCAUACAUGCAUGUAAUGUCGAAUAGUUCAUUGGGCAUAAAUAAAGCCUCCCAUAGUUCAUCCGAACAUAUAUAUUUGUCUCCAAGCAACAUUAAUGAUUGAGCAAUGUGAAAUCUGACUCUGUGCUCUUCCGAGUUUCUCAAAUAAUGUGGAUAGAUCUCUGACACUUCCUUGUUUAUGCGUAACAGUUCAUCGCCUACCUCUUGCACGUAGCCAUUAGAUUGUCGUUGGACAUAUUCGAGAAACAUGAUUGGAACCGGUGUGCUUCCUCUUAAUCAGUGGUGUAUAAUGGAGAAUCCCUUCAAGAACUUGAUGCAAGGGGACUUUUAUUUCAGACUGCAAUAAAUCGUAAACAACAUCUUGAUUGUGAUAAAUAUGAAAGCUAAUUAUAUCCACAGCAAGCAUUUCCUGUUCUUUAGCGCUUAAAUAUUUCCAAGAGUAUAUUCCAA